rnacentral:rRNA from 1 species
CACGUAAGGGGCAAGCGUUGUUCGGAAUUAUUGGGCGUAAAGGGCGCGCAGGCGGUUUGCCAAGCUUGAUGUGAAAGACCCCAGCUUAACUGGGGAUGUGCGUUGAGAACUGGCAGGCUAGAGUAUAAGAGGGGGAGUUGGAAUUCCAGGUGUAGGGGUGAAAUCUGUAGAUAUCUGGAAGAACACCGGUGGCGAAGGCGAACUCCUGGCUAUAUACUGACGCUGAGGCGCGAAAGUGUGGGGAGCGAACAGGAUUAGAUACCCUGGUAGUCCACACUGUAAACGAUGUGCACCAGGUGUUGGAUGGAAGCAUUCAGUGCCGUAAUUAACGUGGUAAGUGCACCGCCUGGGGAGUAUGCCCGCAAGGGUGAA